GUCACGGAAUCGCUGUAAAUUGUGUCAUUCCUUGCCUUCCCAUGCACCUGGUUAAUGUGGUUUCAUCUGAUGGUGUUGCACCUCCCUUGCCUACUUACGAGAAUAGUUUUCAUCACAAGGCUAAAAAACAUCGUUUUUAGUCAACAUAACCUUCGCGCAAUAUAUCUCUUUCAUCCAAGAUGGCGCCCAUUGAGCAAUUUUAUUGAAAUUUUACUUGCAUUGCACUGACAGUAAUGACGGACAAAAAUGUUUGAGAAGAAAAUAAUAGCAUACUCAUAGUUAGGUAGUCCAGUAAGAUUAAAUAAGCCAAUAAAGAAUGUU